rnacentral:rRNA from 1 species
GAAAGUAAAGAAGGGCGCAUGGCGGAUGCCUUGGCUCUCGGAGGCGAUGAAGGACGUGAUAAGCUGCGAUAAGCUUUGGGGAGGUGCAAAUGACCUUUGAUCCAGAGAUUUCCGAAUGGGACAACCCAAUAUCUUGAAGAGGUAUUAUCCAACGUUGUUGGAGGCUAACGCAGGGAACUGAAACAUCUUAGUACCUGCAGGAAAAGAAAAUAAACAAUGAUUCCCCCAGUAGUGGCGAGCGAACGGGGAACAGCCCAAACCAUCCAUGUUACGGCAUGGGUGGGGUUGUAGGACUACGCCGUUGCAUGAAGACAUCAGAGAAGAACUUUCUGGAAAGAAAGACCAUAGAGCAUGACAGUUGCGUAUUCGAAUGUUGUCGAAGCAUAGUAGUAUCCUGAGUAGCGCGGAGCACGAGGAAUUCUGCGUGAAUCUGCCGGGACCAUCCGGUAAGGCUAAAUACUCCCGAGAGACCGAUAGCGAACCAGUACCGUGAGGGAAAGGUGAAAAGCACUUCGAACAGAAGAGUGAAAUAGUUCCUGAAACCGUGCGCCUACAAGCGGUCGGAGCUCGUUAAUGAGUGACGGCGUGCCUUUUGCAUAAUGAACCUACGAGUUGCCUUUGCCGGCAAGGUUAAGUGUGACGACACACGUAUCCGAAGCGAAAGCGAGUCUGAACAGGGCGUAUAGUCGGCAGUGGCAGACGCGAAACCAAGUGAUCUACCCUUGGCCAGGUUGAAGGCUGGGUAACACCAGCUGGAGGACCGCACCAAUAAGCGUUGAAAAGCUUCUGGAUGAGCUGAGGGUAGGGGUGAAAGGCUAAUCAAACUUGGAGAUAGCUCGUACUCCCCGAAAUGCAUUUAGGUGCAGCCUUGCGGGUUACUGAUGUGAGGUAGAGCGACUGAUAAGAUGCGAGGGCUUCACCGCCUAUCAAGUCUUGACAAACUCCGAAUGCGCAUCAGUUCUACCGCAGGAGUGAGGGCAUGGGUGCUAAGGUCCGUGCCCGAGAGGAGAAGAAUCCGGACCACCUGCUAAGGUCCCGAAAUGACAGCUAAGUUAAACUAACGAAGUCUGACUGCUAAGACAGCUAGGAUGUUGGCUUGGAAGCAGCCAUUCAUUUAAAGAGUGCGUAACAGCUCACUAGUCGAGGAGUCGGGCGUGGAUAAUAAUCGGGUAUUAAGUUGUCUACCGAAGCAGUGGGAUCAUUAAUAUGAUCGGUAGGGGAGCAUUCCAGUCAGCGUCGAAGGCGUACCGUGAGGUAUUCUGGAGCGUCUGGAAAAGCAAAUGUAGGUAUAAGUAACGAUAAAGGGGGCGGGAAACCCCCUCGCCGAAAGACUAAGGUUUCCUGAUCAACGCUAAUCGGAUCAGGGUCAGUCGGGUCCUAAGGCUCAGCCGAACGGCGAUGCCGAUGGCAGAAACGGUUAAUAUUCCGUUACUACCUUCAGGAGUGACGUGGAGACGCAGUAGUGACAGUGCCGCCAUCUGACGGAAUAGAUGGUUGAAGGGUGUAGGAGUCGAUCAUGGCAGGCAAAUCCACCAUGAGAUCCGAACCUGACAGUAUGCCGCGUCCUUCGGGACAAGGCAAUAGUGCGCGUAAGCAUGCUGCCGAGAAAAUCCGCUAAACUUAAUCCUGCAGGUACCCGUACCGCAAACGGACACACGUAGUCGGGAUGAAUAUUCUAAGGCGCUUGAGUGAUUCACGGUUAAGGAACUAGGCAAACUGACCCUGUAACUUCGGGAUAAAGGGUCCCUACCCUUUUAUGGGAGGGCGCAGAGAAUCGGUCCAGGCAACUGUUUAACAAAAACACAGGGCUGUGCCAAAUCGAAAGAUCCAGUAUACAGCCUGACACCUGCCCGGUGCUGGAAGGUUAAGAGGAGAUGUCAUCGAUAAGAGAAGCGUUGAAUUGAAGCCCCAGUAAACGGCGGCCGUAACUAUAACGGUCCUAAGGUAGCGAAAUUCCUUGUCGGGUAAGUUCCGACCUGCACGAAUGGUGUAAUGAUCUGGACGCUGUCUCAACCGUGAGCUCAGUGAAAUUGUAGUAUCGGUGAAGAUGCCGAUUACCCGCGAUGGGACGAAAAGACCCCGUGAACCUUUACUAUAGCUUAUCAUUGAAUCUGGGCACGUGAUGUGUAGGAUAGGUCGGAGGCUUUGAAGCAGGUACGCCAGUAUUUGUGGAGCCGCUGUUGAAAUACGACCCUUUAUUUGUUUGGAUUCUAACCCGUGGAACGGGGACAUUGAUUGGUGGGUAGUUUGACUGGGGUGGUCGCCUCCAAAAGCGUAACGGAGGCUUCUAAAGGUGCCCUCCGGCCGAUUGGUAACCGGCCUUAGAGUGUAAUGGCAUAAGGGCGCUUGACUGGGAGACUGACAAGUCGAUCAGGUAGGAAACUAGAGCAUAGUGAUCCGGUGUUUCCGUAUGGAAGGGACAUCGCUCAAAGGAUAAAAGGUACUCCGGGGAUAACAGGCUGAUCCCUCCCAAGAGCUCAUAUCGAC